rnacentral:rRNA from 1 species
CUAAGUCAGAUUAGCUAGUUGGUGGGGUAAAGGCCUACCAAGGCGACGAUCUGUAGCGGGUCUGAGUGGAUGAUCCGCCACACUGGGACUGAGACACGGCCCAGACUCCUACGGGAGGCAGCAGUGGGGAAUAUUGGACAAUGGGCGAAAGCCUGAUCCAGCCAUGCCGCGUGUGUGAAGAAGGCCUUUUGGUUGUAAAGCACUUUAAGCGAGGAGGAGGCUACUUGGAUUAAUACUCUAGGAUAGUGGACGUUACUCGCAGAAUAAGCACCGGCUAACUCUGUGCCAGCAGCCGCGGUAAUACAGAGGGUGCGAGCGUUAAUCGGAUUUACUGGGCGUAAAGCGUGCGUAGGCGGCUUUUUAAGUCGGAUGUGAAAUCCCUGAGUUUAACUUAGGAAUUGCAUUCGAUACUGGGAAGCUAGAGUAUGGGAGAGGAUGGUAGAAUUCCAGGUGUAGCGGUGAAAUGCGUAGAGAUCUGGAGGAAUACCGAUGGCGAAGGCAGCCAUCUGGCCUAAUACUGACGCUGAGGUACGAAAGCAUGGGGAGCAAACAGGAUUAGAUACCCUGGUAGUCCAUGCCGUAAACGAUGUCUACUAGCCGUUGGGGCCUUUGAGGCUUUAGUGGCGCAGCUAACGCGA